GUGCUGCUUUGGCAGCACAUAUACUAAAAUCAGAAUGAUACAGAGAAGUUUAACAUGGCCCUGCAUAAGGAUGACACAAAUUCGUGAUGCAGUCCAUAUUUUU